rnacentral:rRNA from 1 species
AUUGAACGCUGGCGGCAUGCUUUACACAUGCAAGUCGAACGGUAGAGGGGCAACCCUUGAGAGUGGCGAACGGGUGAGUAAUGCAUCGGAACGUGCCCAGUAGUGGGGGAUAGCCCGGCGAAAGCCGGAUUAAUACCGCAUGAGACCUGAGGGUGAAAGCGGGGGAUCGCAAGACCUCGCGCUAUUGGAGCGGCCGAUGUCAGAUUAGCUAGUUGGUGGGGUAAAGGCCUACCAAGGCGACGAUCUGUAGCUGGUCUGAGAGGACGACCAGCCACAAUGGGACUGGGACACGGCCCAGACUCCUACGGGAGGCAGCAGUGGGGAAUUUUGGACAAUGGGCGCAAGCCUGAUCCAGCCAUGCCGCGUGCGGGAAGAAGGCCUUCGGGUUGUAAACCGCUUUUGUCAGGGAAGAAAUCUUCUGGGCUAAUACCCUGGGAGGAUGACGGUACCUGAAGAAUAAGCACCGGCUAACUACGUGCCAGCCGCCGCCGUAAGAC